AAAUGAAUUGACGGGGACCCGCACAAGCAGCGGAGCAUGUGGUUUAAUUCGAUGCAACGCGAAGAACCUUACCAGGACUUGACAUCCCUCAGACUGGAUUAGAGAUAAUCCUUUCUCUUCGGAGACUGAGGUGACAGGUGGUGCAUGGUUGUCGUCAGCUCGUGUCGUGAGAUGUUGGGUUAAGUCCCGCAACGAGCGCAACCCUUGCCUUUAGUUGCCAACAGUUCGGCUGUGCACUCUAGAGGGACUGCCGAUGAGAAAUCGGAGGAAGGUGGGGAUGACGUCAAAUCAUCAUGCCCUUUAUGUCCUGGGCUACACACGUGCUACAAUGGUCGGUACAAUGGGCAGCAACUUAGCGAUAAGAAGCCAAUCCCAUAAAGCCGAUCUCAGUUCGGAUUGCAGGCUGCAACUCGCCUGCAUGAAGCCGGAGUUGCUAGUAAUCGUGGAUCAGAAUGCCACGGUGAAUGCGUUCCCGGGUCUUGUACACACCGCCCGU
rnacentral:rRNA from 1 species